rnacentral:misc_RNA from 1 species
GAUGAAGAACGUAGCGAAAUGCGAUAAGUAAUGCGAAUUGCAGAAUUCCGUGAGUCAUCGAAUCUUUGAACGCACAUUGCGCCCGCCAGCACUCUGGCGGGCAUGCCUGUUCGAGCGUCAUUUCAACCAUCAAGCCCCCAGGGGCUUGUGCUGGGGCCCUGCGGCUGCCCGCAGGCCCUGAAAACCAGUGGCGGGCUCGCUAGUCACACCGAGCGCAGUAGCACAUCUCGCUCAGGGCGUGCGGCGGGCUCCUGCCGUGAAACCCCCCACUGUAACCCCAAAGGUUGACCUCGGAUCAGGUAGGAAUACCCGCUGAACUUAAGCAUAUCAAUAAGCGGAGGA